UGGAGGGAUGAGCUAAGUGGGUGAUGAGCAUUAAGGACACUUGUGAUGGGCACUGGGUGUUAUAUGUAAGCGACAAAUCCCUAAAUUCUACUCCUGACCCAAAUGCUACACUAUGUAUGAGCUCAUUUGAAUUUCAAUAACAAUUUGGAAAAAAAAACACAUAUCCUUUCCAACUUGUUUAAGGUAUGAAGUCACCUGACAGGGAUAAUUUAUUAGCUAACUAAUUAGCCUGUCACAGAAGCCACCUGCCUCCAAAAUCACCCAGAAUAGAGAAGGGAUCUGUAAGAAUGACACCCAGAAUUACAUGAUUUGAUGGGUUAAGGGAGUGAGUAAAGUUAGAGUUAAGAAUUAAGGGAAGAAAAAAAUCCAGCAUUUGAAGCACCAUUAGGGAAAGCUAAAACCCUGGAGCAGCCUAAGUACUUAGAGACAUAUGCAUCUCUAGGAGAAAAGGUUUUAAAUACAGGAGUAGGUGGGGAGUUAGUUUUGUAAUGGGUACAGAGGUUUAGUCAAGGAAGAUGAAAAAGUUCUAGAGAUGGAUGUGAUGGUGGUGGCUCAAAAAUGUGAAUGUCCUUAAUACCACAGAACUGCACACUUAAAAUGGCUAAAAGCAUAAGUUUCAUAAUUUUGUACACUACAGAUAUAUUCUAGACAAUCUGGGACAGAAAUAAAGUCAAGGUUGCUUUCACCAAUGUUGCCUUAGAUGGUAUUGUAGUCAGCAGUUAAGAUGGGGCCAGUGAUCCUCACAUCCUAGUAUAUUCUCCCCUGUGUUGUCCCAUCCCACAGUGGAUAGAGCUGACCCAAGUAACCAACAGCAUACAGCAGAAAUGAACUUCCAAGGCCAGCUCAUAAAAGACAUUGCAGCUUCUAAAUGGUUUUCUCUUACAUCUCUUGCUCUGAGGGAAGUGAGCCGCCACACUGUGAAAACAUUCAUGCAGCCUAUGGAGAGGUCCAGGGAUGAGAAAGUGAGGCCUCUGGGCAACCUGCCAACCCACUGGGGAGCCACCCAGAAAGCAGAUCCUCCGGCAGCCCCAUCCAACAUCUGGACUGCAACCUCGUGACAGAGCCUAAGCCAGAACCACGCGGUUACCACUUUCCUCACCCACAGAAAUUGGUGACAGAUGAGGCAGAGCUUGAUGAGAAAUCUAUUGCAAAUGAAAAGUAAUCUUGGAUUACAGUCAAGUAGAGCAAGGCUCCUGCCAGCCUGUAGGUUCACACCACAAAGUAGCCCCUGUUCGAGUCAACAGGCUGGUCUACACAGGUAAAUCUGGUCUGUACAGGUGCGGAGGACCAAACUAAAGCUUCCGGCCACACCAGCACAUCUCUUAAUGCACAAUCUGAGGUUUUUAGCAGAACUGAA